UAUAACAGCCGUUUAUCAUUAACUGAAAACUGAUGUAAAUAGUUCAGAUGAUUCGAGCUGCAGCUCCUGACAGCUGAGAGCUCGAUCAUGAUGGUUUCUUAUCGUUUAUACUGGACGCUGUGGAUAUUGUCGUGUUUUGGACAAUAUUUAGGUCAAGAUCUGCAGAUUCCUGAGCCGCCUAAUAAAGCAGAAGGAGACAGUGUGGUGUUCGCUCCUGAUAGCCCACCCUCCACAUCGAUUUUUAUAACUCAAUGGUUUUUUGCUGCAACACCUAUAAUUACAGUAGCGCAUGGUGUAACUACAGUAAACCCCGCAUAUGAAGGCAGAUUCCGUUUUGACAGCAACACUCUCGCUCUGACACUGCAGAACCUGAGACUGAGUGAUUCUGGAAUAUACAGACUGACUGUAACAACUAGUGCUGGAGAGACACUUACAGGAGAAACUUCACUACAAGUGUUCGAAAAUGUAUCUAAUGUCAGGCUUAUUGGUCCAGAGGAACCAUUAAUAGAGGGCGAAUCAUCUGCUAACAUCACCUCUGAAGGAACUGGCACAAUCACUUCUGUGCAGUGGAUGAAAGAUAACAGUCCUCUGUCUCCUAGCAACAGCAUCAUCUUCUCAGCUGAUAACAGAUCAUUGUUCAUCAGUCCAGUGCAGAGAUCAGACAGUGGGGAAUAUCAGUGUACAUAUACAAACCCUGUCAGCUCUGGGACAGCAAAACUCAGCCUGAUCAUCAACUAUGGACCAGAAGAUGUUUCUAUUAAGGGUCUGGAUGUGGUGGAUUUAGGGGUUCGUGUGUCUCUGUCUUGCUCUGCAAAUUCUGAACCUUCUGCCUCAUUCAGAUGGAAGUUUAAUGAAACAGACACCAGUGUGACCACAGACACAUUCACUAUAGAUAAGACUGACGUCACACACAGUGGAGAUUACGACUGCACUGCCUGGAAUAGUGUCACAAACAGAAACGCCUCACAAAGACAUGCUUUACUAGUUAAAGUUGGUGGUGGAGGAGGAGGACUGACAACAGGAGCCAUAGUUGGGAUUGUCAUUGUAGUUUUAGUGGCAGUUUCAGGCAUUUGUGGUCUGAUUGUCUAUUUAAUAAAAACCAAGAAAAUUCAAGAAAUAAAGCAACAACAAAAAGAACAAGCAAGUGGAGCGGCACAAAACACACAGGAGCAUCACUAUCAAGAACCCCUUGAUUUCCAAAUGACUAGUGGAGAUGGAGCAAUUCUGGGAAAUGAAAGGAAUAUAUAUGAGAAUCAGUGUGAAACUGAUGACUAUGUGAAUGUAAAACAUGGGGUUUCAAACAGACCAAGGGCUCCUGCACCUCCACCAGGAAUCAAAUCCUCCUCCUGUGCGCCUUUGAGGAAAUAAAGACACCGAAACAUCUAUUGCACUGAGUCUUCCUGCAUUCUUCCUGCAGUUUGUGAUAUAUCUGUACCUUAUUUACAUAUAUAUUAGGAGUAUUUGUAUUAAAAUGUUUAUUUGCGGGUCCAUGUGAAAUCUGAGCACAAAAAAACAGUAGAAAGCGGAUUUAACAUGAUGUUGGUGUAAAAUAUAUUUUACCCCAACAUCAGUGUAAAAUCUGUAACAAACAUUCACUCAAUCCAACUGCUCCUGCUAAUGUAUAAAUUAUUAUCUUCACACUAUUAUAUAUGUAUAUAUAUAUAUAUAUACAGUUGUGCUCAGAAUUAUUCAUACCCUUUGUAAAUAUGACCAAAGAAGGCUGUGAAAAUAAAUCUGCAUUGUUCAUCGUUUUGAUCUUUUAUUUUAAAAAUGUACAAAAAUCCAACUGUUCAUUGGAGAAUAAGAAUUUUAAAUGGGCAGGAAAUCUCAUUAUGAAAUAAAUGUUUUUCUCUCAUACACAUUGCUCACAAUUAAUCAUACCCUUGUAUUCAAUACUUUUUGUAACCUCCUUUUGCCAAGAUAACAGCUCUGAGUUUUCUCCUAUAAUGCCUGAUGAGUUUGGAGAACACCUGACAAGAGAUCAGAGAUCAUUCCUUCAUACAGAAUCUCUCCAGAUCCUUCAGAUUCCCAGCUCCAUGUUGGUGCUUUUUCUCUUCAGUUCACUCCACUCAUUUUCUAUGGGGUUCAUGUCAGGGGACUGGGAUGGUCAUUGCAGAAGCUUCAUUUUGUGCUCAGUGACACAUUUUUGUGUUAAUUUUAAUGUUUGUUUUUGUAUCAUUGCCCUGACGGAAGAUCCAACCACAGCCCAUUAUAAGAGUUCUUGCAGGGACAGUCAGGUUUUGAUUUUUUAUCUUUUGCUGUUUGAUAGAAUCCAUGAUGCCAUGUAUCUGAACAAGAUUUCCAGGAUCUCCGGCAGAAAAAUAGGCCCACAAUAUUAAAGAUCCAGCAGUAUAUUUCAUUGUACACAUGGGGUACUUUUUAUUUCUGUGUUCACCAAACCCAUCUUGAGUGUUUGCUGCCAAAAAGUUUUUUUUUUUUUUCAACUGACCAUAGAACCCAUCCUGUUUGAAGUUCCAGUAGUGUCAGUUACUUUUUAAACAUUCUUUUUAAACAUGGUCAGAUGAAACAACAACAAAAAACGAGCUUUUUGGCAGCAAACACUCAAGAUGAGGCUCCACCAUCACCCAAUCACAUCGCACUCCCUCACCCGAAUACUGAUCAUGCACACCUGCACCUCAUCAUCACCCUCAUCAGCGGCAGUAUAAAGGACUCUCACACACACACACACACACACUCACUGUUAACAUCUAGAUCUUACCUGAAUGCUUAUCUUAAGGACUCCAGUUGACUACUUACCUGUCUCCAGCAUGCUUCCUGUUCUCCCUCUGUGUACUCCGUCUUUGUGUGUGUUCUCCAAUGUCAUCUCUGCUCCAGGAUAUCAGCAUACCAGCUCCAUUUGCCUACAACAAAAAGGACGGUAUCACCAUUCUCAUUAUCACAAUUCACUUGAAGAUUUGCCAUUUACUCACCUGUUUGUCACCGUUGCUCAUCUGGUUGUGAAAUAAACAUCUUAUACUUCCUGUGUCUCUGACCAUCUGUGUUGUAACAGGUAUGAUUAAUUGUGAGCAAUGUGUAUGAGAGAAAAACAUUUUUCAUAAUGAGAUUUUUUUUUUCCCCCCCAUUUAAAAUUCUUAUUCUCUAAUAAAUGGUUGGAUUUUUGUAAAUUUUUAAAAUAAAUGAUCAAAAGGAUGAACAAUGCAGAUUUAUUUUCACAGCCUUCUUUGGUCAUAUUUACAAAGGGUAUGAAUAAUUGAGCACAACUGUAUGUAUUAAUAUAUAUUAAAUGUUUUCACUCUUUCAGUUCAUUCUGAUUUCUUCUGUGUUUGUUAAAUUAUGCUUUAUAUUUAUAUGCUAAUAUUUAUUCACUCUCGAUCACACAUUAAACAGUCUCUCAGAAAUCGUAAGAUUUUCCUCAUUCUUUUGUGCACUGAGCAAAUAAAAGAGAACUGUGAUAGUGGUGAUGAAAUGACUAAAUUCACCUUUAGACCUGAACACAACAUCACUCGCAAAAGAAAUGAGGAAGUGACAAGUUUUGGUAAGCAAAUUUAUAUUGCUCCCAUUUAUAUGGGUGUGAUCUCAUUGUUUUUAUUUUUUAUUUCACUAUUUUUCAAAUAAUUCAACUACUGUUUUGUUAUUUGUGUAAAAUGACAUUUAGCAGAUCUAUUUCCCAAAAUGAGUUCAUUUCUUGUUCAUUCCACCUUCUGGUUCUUGUUUUCAGCUCUUUUGUAUGAAUAAGGCUUUAUUUUUCCUUAUUGAUUUAUCAAGACAAAUAUACAUAGUUAAACUUUAACUUUGUGUUUCAUGAGGAUGAGUGAAGUGUGUUCAGUACAGAUGAUUUCUAAACAAGCUACAGGUAGUCAGUAAUCACAUCACACUCUAUGGUACAUAUUGUCAUGCUGUAUACAAUCAUUUGGGGCCAUAUUAACAAACAAGCAUUUCAUUUUCAACACUCUUAGUACUAAUAUAAUAAUCCUGUUAGAACUAAUAAAUGUCGAUCCAGGAAGUGGCAGGACUGUGCAAGCCGUGGGGAUGUUGAUGAAAGCGAUUGUUAAUACGUAGGUAUUACUGUAAGAGUGAUGUGCCAGGAGGCAUUUCUGUGUGGAGUUUGUAUGUUUUCUCCUUGUUGACAUUGGUUUCCUUUGGGGUUUCCCCCACAAUCUAAAGACAUACAGGACAGGUGAACUGGACAAUGUAAGUUUGCCCGUAGGUGUGAGUGUGAAUAUGAAUGUGUGUGAGUGUGUCAUCCCUGUGAUGGACCGACCAUCUGUCCAGGAUGUAACAGAGACUAAAAAUAGCUCCGGCUUUCAGCUGAAAUUCCAAUUACUUGUGUUUUGAAUAAUUAUCAAUUAAUUUCAUUGAAAAUAUUCUGCUAAGAUUUUAUAUUUCAAUAUAAUUCCUGCAGAAAUGCACAGAGUUUGCCAUAAUUCUGAUAUGAAUAUGCUUUUAUUAGUUUUGAUCAAGCAGUGAUCAAGUAAGAUGUACAUUUUCAAAACUCUUUGUACAAAACUCCAAACUGAUCACACUUUUAACACAACUAGUCAUUCUUUCAAAACAUGAUCUCAUGCUUUCAUUCUAGUUGUACAUAUUUUCAUUCUUCAUAAUCACUGUUUCAAAACACAAGAUCAUUGUGAUAUGUAAUGAGAACAUUUGGUUUAAUCACCAAAACACAACAGUAUGAUCUUCUUUCAAUUUAGUAAUUUUAACAAGCAGCUCAUUUAAUAGCAAACAAUGGGUUUCGAAUCACCCUUGUUGCUGAAAUAAUUACAGUAACACAGGCUACAGAUGCUACAUUAGAAAAUACACUUACAUUACUUACAUAUCUGGCAUAAAAUCCAUAAUGUUUGUAAUAGUAUAUAUUCUGUGAGUUAUCAAAAAGUGUGAUAAAGUUAUGAAAUGGCCAUUAGGUUUUGUGUAGAACAGAGUGUGCUGCCAAUACAGUAAAUGUUCUCACUGUGUCAUAUGACUGAAUCUAAACUGUACUUGACCUUUAUAAGGGUCAGUUACAGUAAUGUGACAGUCUCUACCCUGGUAAUACCUCUGUUUACAGUAUCACAUGGCACACUGUAAUGUAAAAUGCUGUAUUUGAUGUCA